rnacentral:rRNA from 1 species
UUGCAGUGGGGUCCAGCGUGGAUCCCCUAGAGGAGUAGUAUGCGUGCACUAUUCUGGAACCUUCGCGGCUUCGGCCAUCAUGGCCGUCGACGCCAAUUAGUGGAUUACAUGCGCGAGGAGAAUAUUGAUAUAGUGGCGAUCUAAGAAACGAUGAGGACUGAGUUCUCUCUCUCUGAACUCGAUCGAUUGAGCCGACACUUGUUUGCAUGGCACUGGUUGCCAUCUAGUGGAGUGCCGGGACACUCCGGUGGCAUCCUUCUUGGGGUGAAGGAUGCCACCUUUGAGGUUGGCUCC